rnacentral:rRNA from 1 species
UACGUAGGUGGCAAGCGUUGUCCGGAAUUAUUGGGCGUAAAGCGCGCGCAGGCGGUUCCUUAAGUCUGAUGUGAAAUCCCCCGGCUCAACUGUGGAACGGCUGGGCAUACUGGCGGUCUUGAGCCAUCUAGGGGCGACUGGAACAAACGGUGGAGCGGUGAAAUGCGUAGAUAUCGUUUGGAACGCCAAUGGUGAAAACAGGUCGCUGGGGAUGAGCUGACGCUGAGACACGAAAGCCAGGGGAGCAAACGGG